rnacentral:siRNA from 1 species
AAACUCCCGUUUUUGGCACCAAAC